GAUGAACGCUGGCGGCGUGCCUAAUACAUGCAAGUCGAGCGAAUGAUGAGGAGCUUGCUCCUCUGAUUUAGCGGCGGACGGGUGAGUAACACGUGGGUAAUCUGCCUGUAAGACGGGGAUAACUCCGGGAAACCGGGGCUAAUACCGGAUAAUAAAAAGAAACGCAUGUUUCUUUUUUGAAAGUCGGUUUCGGCUGACACUUACAGAUGAGCCCGCGGCGCAUUAGCUAGUUGGUGAGGUAACGGCUCACCAAGGCGACGAUGCGUAGCCGACCUGAGAGGGUGAUCGGCCACACUGGGACUGAGACACGGCCCAGACUCCUACGGGAGGCAGCAGUAGGGAAUCUUCGGCAAUGGGCGAAAGCCUGACCGAGCAACGCCGCGUGAGCGAUGAAGGCCUUCGGGUCGUAAAGCUCUGUUGUUAGAGAAGAACAAGUACGAGAGUAACUGCUCGUACCUUGACGGUACCUAACCAGAAAGCCACGGCUAACUACGUGCCAGCCGCCGCCGUAAUAC
rnacentral:rRNA from 1 species